rnacentral:rRNA from 1 species
CCCUGAUGCAGCCAUGCCGCGUGUGUGAAGAAGGCCUUCGGGUUGUAAAGCACUUUCAGUAGGGAGGAAGGUAGUGUAGUUAACACCUGCACUAUUUGACGUUACCUACAGAAGAAGCACCGGCUAACUCCGUGCCAGCAGCCGCGGUAAUACGGAGGGUGCGAGCGUUAAUCGGAAUUACUGGGCGUAAAAGCGCAUGCAGGUGGUUUGUUAAGUCAGAUGUGAAAGCCCGGGGCUCAACCUCGGAAUUGCAUUUGAAACUGGCAGACUAGAGUACUGUAGAGGGGGUAGAAUUUCAGGUGUAGCGGUGAAAUGCGUAGAGAUCUGAAGGAAUACCGGUGGCGAAGGCGGCCCCCUGGACAGAUACUGACACUCAGAUGCGAAAGCGUGGGGAGCAAACAGGAUUAGAUACCCUGGUAG